rnacentral:rRNA from 1 species
AGUGAACGCUGGCGGUAGGCCUAACACAUGCAAGUCGAACGGCAGCACAGUAAGAGCUUGCUCUUACGGGUGGCGAGUGGCGGACGGGUGAGGAAUACAUCGGCAUCUACUUUUUCGUGGGGGAUAACGUAGGGAAACUUACGCUAAUACCGCAUACGACCUACGGGUGAAAGCAGGGGAUCUUCGGACCUUGCGCGAUUGAAUGAGCCGAUGUCGGAUUAGCUAGUUGGCGGGGUAAAGGCCCACCAAGGCGACGAUCCGUAGCUGGUCUGAGAGGAUGAUCAGCCACACUGGAACUGAGACACGGUCCAGACUCCUACGGGAGGCAGCAGUGGGGAAUAUUGGGCAAUGGGCGAAAGCCUGAUCCAGCCAUACCGCGUGGGUGAAGAAGGCCUUCGGGUUGUAAAACCCUUUUGUUGGGAAAGAAAAGCAGCAGGUUAAUACCCCGCUGUUCUGACGGUACCCAAAGAAUAAGCACCGGCUAACUUCGUG